UUGUUUUGGCCUUUGCAUAUCACUGUUGAACCGAGGAGACUAGCACCGCCAAGUCCAACGACAAGCCCCGAAGAUUUUUGAACGCGCCAAGUUUCCUCUCGAAAGUACAUCUACAUGAUGACCCGCCAAGUACUACUACAAACCCGAAGAUUUCGGAUGCAUCCAGUUCCCGAGGAGACCCGUUUUUCGUCAAGUUCGACUACCCGUAUCAUCAAGUACCACUACGGCCGGAGACCUCGGACACGCCAAGUACCCCUUCGAGCUAUCAAUACCGCAAGCGUCAAGUUCCAUGACGACCCAAGUACUAUGAGAACGUUUGUACCUCUACCGUUGCCGAAGACCCGUGUAACACAAACGUCAAGUUCAACUACCGUCACAUGAACCGCUACUUCCCACGACGACCCGUGAACAACUACUUCCCCUUCGACACUUGUACCCCUACCACCGAACUCGAUCUGUUCCGAUAAUGCACGCUUCAAAGGUAUAACCCCGAGACGACGUCCGUGAACGAAUGCUUGCGAUGUUUGAGAUGCUCGUGUUUGCACCAUGUCCAAAUUGUCACUCGUUUCCUUAUCGCCAACUCGUAGGACACCCGGAAUCCGGGAGCGCCCCACCAUCUUUUGCACGCAUCCGCACGCUUCUCCUUUGCAUCAGUAUCUCAAUCGAGUUACCGGAACCGGAACGCUGCCGUGGCACCGUUUUCGUAUUGUUGCCGUGGCACCCCUUUCCUUUCCACCACGGGGACAAAUGCUUCAUAAUGCUCUUGUCAACUUUUAAUAAGAAUUGCAUAAACUUGUUCAUGUCAUCCGCAUCAUGAUAAGAAGAAUUAAAAUGUUUAAAUUGUUGUUGCAUUAAAUUGUUAAAUGCAUAUGGGGAUUUACCGGAUUUGUUGUUUGUUAUAUCCGGCCCCAUUUAAAUUGUUUAGAUAGUAUAGUUUUGUUAUGCUUCACCUCUUGCCAUGUUAACUAACUUUUAAUAUUGUUGAGUACCUAACCGAGAGUGAACUAAAUAAUUGAUGUGGUGUUCCGUCAAUAUGCAACGGAGUUGCAUAUUGAGCUCCACUUAAUUUGUAGGAUUGCUUGUGCACUUUGCCAUGCCAGGCCUCAUUAAACCGGACAUGCAUCAUACUCGAUUGUGCAUCAUGACAUGUUGAUGUGUUGGUUGUUUACUAUGUUGUUUGCUUCUUUCCGGUGUUGCUUCUUCGGGUUGGUUCCGAUAACGUCGCGUUUGUGAGGAACCGUUCGACUCCGUCCGUUUGUCUUCUUCACGGACUCGUUCUUCUUCCUUGCGGGAUCUCAGGCAAGAUGAUCAUACCCUCGAAAUCACUUCUAUCUUUGCUUGCUAGAUGCUCGCUCUUUUGCUAUGCCUAUGCUGCGAUGCCUACCACUUGCUUGUCAUGCCUCCCUAAUUGUUGAACCAAGCCUCUAACCCACCUUGUCCUAGCAAACCGUUGAUUGGCUAUGUUACCGCUUUGCUCAGCCCCUCUUAUAGCGUUGUUAGUUGCAGGUGAAGAUUGAAGUUUGUUCCUUGUUGGAACAUGGAGAUGUUGUUCCUUGUUGGAACAUGUUUACUUGUUGGGAUAUCACAAUAUAUCUUAUUUAAUUAAUGCAUCUAUAUACUUGGUAAAGGGUGGAAGGCUCGGCCUUAUGCCUGGUGUUUUGUUCCACUCUUGCCGCCCUAGUUUCCGUCAUAUCGGUGUUAUGUUCCCGGAUUUUGCAUUCCUUACGCGGUUGGGCUAUUAUGGGAACCCCUUGACAAUUCGCCUUGAGUAAAACUCCUCCAGCAAUGCCCAACAUUGGUUUUACCAUUUGCCACCUAGCCUUUUCUUUUCCCUUGGGAGUCGCGCUCCUGAGGGUCAUCAUUAUUUUACCCCCCCGGGCCAGUGCUCCUCUGAGUGUUGGUCCAACCUGUCAGCUGCCGGUGGCCACCAGGGGCAACUCUAGGCUAGCCUACCCGUACCUAAGACAAUCUGAGUGUGACCAGAGAAAGAGAUAUGUGCAGCUCCUAUCGAGAUUUGUCGGCACAUUCGGGCGGUGUUGCUGGUUUAGUUUUAUCCUGUCGAAAUGUCUUGUAGAACCGGGAUACCGAGUCUGAUCGGAAUGUCUCGGGAGGAGGUCUAUUCCUUUGUUGACCGUGAGAGCUUGUCAUGGGCUAAGUUGGGACACCCCUGCAGGGAUUUGAACUUUCGAAAGCCGUGCCCGCGGUUAUGGGCAGAUGGGAAUUUGUUAAUGUCCGGUUGUAGAAAACCUGAAGUUGACCCUAAUUAAAAUGCAUCAACCGCGUGUGUUACCGUGAUGGUCUCUUUCCGGCGGAGUCCGGGAAGUGAACACGGUGUUGGAGUUAUGCUUGACGUAGGUUGUUUUAGGAUCACUUCUUGAUCAUACUUUUAUCGACCGUGCUUUGCCUUCUCUUCUCGCUCUCAUUUGCGUAUGUUAGCCACCAUAUAUGCUAGUCGCUUGCUGCAGCUCCACCUCUUACCUUUACCUUACCCAUAAGCUUAAAUAGUCUUGAUCGCGAGGGUGCGAGAUUGCUGAGUCCCCGUGACUCACAGAUUCUUCCAAACCCAGCUUGCAGGUGCCGAUGAGUCCGUGCAGUUGAUGCAACCAAGCUCAGGAGGAGCUCGAUGAAGAUCGUGUCCUUUAUGUUGUUUCGUUCUAGUUGAUCAGUAGUAGAGCCCAGCUGGGGUUGAUCGGGGACCUUGUCGCAUUUGGGGUUCUUCUUUGAUUUUGGCUCCGUAGUCGGGCCUUGAUUGUAUUUGGAUGAUGUAAUGCUUUAUUCAUGUAUUGUGUGAAGUGGCGAUUGUAAGCCAACUAUGUAUCUCUUUCCCUUGUGUAUUACAUGGGUUGUGUCAAGAUUACCUCACUUGCGACAUUGCUUUCAAUGCGGUUAUGCCUCUAAGUCGUGCUUCGACAUGUAGGAGAUAUAGCCGCAUCGAGGGUGUUACAAGUUGGUAAUCAGAGCCUUCCCCGACCUUAGGAGCCCCACUGCUUGAUCGUUUUUAGCAGCCAAGUUGUGUCUAGAAAAAUGUUUUGAGUCAUUUAGGAAUUAUAUAUCGGAGAGUUUAGGAAUUCUUUUUACUUCCAAGUCUCCUCAUCGCUUUGGUAAGGCAUCUUGACGUAGAGUUUUGACUCUUCUCUUCUCAAAUUUCACUAAAAAAAAUUUAGGAUCACGCGGGUAUCUUGGAAUCGUUCCGAUGGUUUUGUGACGAGAACAUUGUCUUGGUGCCUCCUGUCAGGGGUUUUGUGGCAGUGUCCCGGGGAGUUGAGCUCCGAGGUGCUGUCGUCACAAUUUUAUCAUUGCAAUUCUGGAAUACCUGAGUUUAGUACGCCGACAUCGAAAAUCUCUUUUAUGCAGUUCGUUGGUGAGAUAACCUCGACGCCACCCAGUACUGGGGCGGGAGUUCGGGAGUAUUGCCAUAACUUGUGUAACGGAUGCUUUUAGAAGGUGAGGUAGACGAUUUCCGAAGGUUUCUUGGUUAUGUGUUGAAGGAUGGAUACAACUGGAUGUAGGAUUGCUAGUUCUGGGUGAGAUAUUAUGCUUCCCCUGUAUCCCCAACACCUGAUUGUAUAACCGGAAAGGUUCGGGAGUUUCAUAGGUGGGAAUUCAAGUAGCUCUUAGGAUAUCUUUCCAACAGAUGUACGAUAUGAAAUUGGGGUUCGACGUCUAGUGGUCUGCCUAUUCACGGUCAGUUUUACAGUGGUCUCGUUGUGUCUUAAAGAGUCCUUGGCUAUGCCGACUCGGGGAUGCUUCGUAUGUCAUGUGCACUGCCUUGUACAUGAUGGUGCUGUACGAUCGAGCCCGUGUAGGCCCCACCACGAAAACUUCGGACCAAAUCUCUAUCAUAUGUUUGUUCCGGCUUAUUCUGCAAGCCAACCCUUUGUUUUUGUUUUGAGAUGUGGUAUUCGAGUUGCUUCGAAGUCAAAUGUUGAUUCCAUCCCUUUCCUAAGUGGUGUUCUCAUACUCCUAUGCGAAUACUAAUCCUCCUUGAUAAUCGAGAUUGUUAUGCCAAUCUUGUUCAACCGGUGUGCUUCUCUUCAAGUGGAUCCGAUCACUUCAACAUUCGCAAGAUUCAAUCUUAGCUUUCUCAACGGUGUUUGUUUCAUCCGUCUCCGAGUUGCCUUUGUUUUUCCCGCCCACCCACCCUUUUUCGUCAAGGACUCAGAUUUGUUAUUCAAGUAUCCAUCUUAUUGAUGUGAAGUCUCUCCAUUCUUUUCUAUCAAUAUUCUUAUCCGGUGAUUCUCAUGAAGAUUCUAACGGAGCUUCAAGUUCGUCAUUCCUCAUUCCUUUUCUUCUCCGGUGGUUUCAAGUCAAGCUUUGUUGAUCAUAUCUUUUCCUCGUUUCAAUGCUUACUUAUGCCAGUGCACCUCUUAAUCUUCCCCGCUUGCCAUUCUAUUGUUCUGGAGUGCUCAAGAUAUCUCGAAGAUUCGUGUUUCCACUCUACAUUCGUUCAAGUUCUUUCGAGGAUGUUAUCUCAUUCAAGUCUUUUAAUUCAACCGGUGAAAUCUCUCUUUUUAAUCAUUCUAACAGUGUUUUCUCUUGAGUGGGCCCUAACCCACAGGUUUUUUUCCCAGUAUCUUACCUGACUCUUCUUAUUUUUCCGGAGCUUUUCAAAUUCUUUUCUAAAGUUUGACGUAAGAAUGAAUUGUCAUCAGUCAAAUGUCUUUCUCCAAGAUCGGUUAAAUUAUUUUCAUCGUUGGAUCAACCUUUCCAUUCUUCGUUCCGGAGUGUCUAAAUAAUUUUUGUUGGUGUUUCUCGUCGUCAUUCUCAGGAUUUGGAGACCGAAGAAGAGUUUUUCCUCCUAAUCUAAUCAAUUCUCUUCAAGAUUUGUGAUUCUAUCUUGUUGCCAUCCUCCCGUAAUUGUUUUGUUCGUGAGAAUUCUUUUCACCUAUCCGGAGCAAUUCAAGAGUCUUCUCAGUUUAUUAUCACGGAGAUCCAUCAAAUCUUUGCAAGGCUUCACCUUGUGUUUUCAACUACCCUUUCUUUCCGUUUGAUCAUUCUUUUGUUUAACGGAGUUCUUCAUGGAGGUUCUACAUGAUGGUUCAUCAAGGAUUUAUUUCCUUCUCGAAGUUUUCAUCGAGAUUCAUUUCUAGGGAGCUCAAGCAUUCUUCAUCUUGCUAUCCGGAGUGCAAUUCUUUCUUCCGUAUCUUUGGAGGUGGUAUUAUGUCAUUUUUGAUAAUUUGAGUUCAUGUUUCAUGAUUCACAUGUUUUCAAGAGUGAGGUAUUUAAAUCCACCAAUCUCUUCAUUGGAGUUAUCUCGGUUUAGAUUUCACCGAAAGCCUUCCAUUGGGAAUGUUGCUAUUUAUGGUGUUUAUAAAUGACCCAAGUUUUUCAUUGAUCCUUCCGGUGAAAUAGUUUCUCGUCUCCUUGCUGAUAUCAAUCCAAUCUAUUGGUUCCGUUAGUGGCAAAAAUUUCACCUCAUAGUUUUGAGAUGUUUUUCCAUAAGCCCACUACAAACUUAUUCGUUUUGUUGUUGAUCUUUCCCAACAACUAUGUUUUAACCUUCUUGGAAGGGUGCCUUCCAAGAUCAUUGGUGGCAGAAGUUGUCAUUUUCUUCUCAAUUCCUUCCUUUUCAUUUAUCUAUCGUCUAUUUCUUUCUUCCGAAGGCAUUGUGAUGUUGCUCUCUUCAACUCAUCUUCUUGUUUCGUCAGGAUCAUGUUCUUUCCUUUGCUUAUCCAUUCGACCGGAGUGUUGUGUUUUCAUGCCAGUUCUCUCAUCUUAUCAAGUUUUACAUCCUUUCUCAACCGGAGUGCUGUCUAAAAUCGUUCUUACCCCCUUGUGCCAUUCUUUCAAUAGUUCCGGAGGCAUUGUGUUGUUGAUUUCACCAAGUAUCUUCUCGUCUUAUCAAGUUCUUAUUCAAUUCCUUUUCUUUUCAGUCGGAGUCCUGUCCAAAUUAUAUCAUUAUUAAUCCUUUUCUAUCUUGUAUUAACCGGAGUGGUUUCAAUAUUUAUCUUGCCCUUCAACCUCAAGGUUUUUUCGCAAUGUUCUUUGUUCCUCUUUUCUAAAGGAGUGUUUUUGACCUUGUUCACCUUCGUUGUAUUCUGUCUCGAAUUUGUUCAACCUCGCAAGGUUCUUUGGUUUCACUCAUUCAUCAAAGAAGCAACUUAGUUUUACCUCUUGUCUUUCUCUUCCGUUUUUUCCCUCUGGUGCCAUUCUAGAUCUCGGGACGAGAUCCUCUCGUAGUGGUGGAGUGAUGUAAUGCCCCAAGACCGGAGCUUCAGAUGCCUUCCAGGGUUUCCGGGUUCCGUCGUGUGACUUGUUUGGUUCUUUGCAUUCAUCAUUGCAUCAUGUGCGUUGCAUCAUGUCAUCAUGCCAUCAUGUCAUUAAUCUUUGCAUCUCAAGUCGAAUAAAUAAAUCGUAUGGAUCUUCGGUCCAUUUAAAUUGAGGGAAUUCACAUGGUGAGUUCUCUUUAUAACAUAUCCGCCCGAUAUUAGGGAGCUAUAUUAAAUAUUCCAUUUUCGGAAUCACCCACGAACGCACUUGCAAAUAUUUCCCCAUGCCUUCGUCCCAUGCAUCAUCUCUUUGUCCUUUCCUUCUAUUUCCUGUCUUUUGAUAGUUUCAUUUUCCCCUUCUCUAUUAAUGUCCAUUCUUUUCCUAUAAAUUCUAGACCGUGCCAGGAACACCUCAUCCAAUUUUCAGAUCCUUUGGACUUGUUUUGGUUGGAUUCAAAAAUGGCUCAAGCUUGAAUCUAAUUCAAACUUGAAUUAUUUUUCUAUCUCUAAAAUAGUGCCAAACCAUUUUAUUCUAUUUGUGCAAAGUUCCGGCGCUCCAAGAAUAUAUUUUUUCUAAAAUAUUCUUUCCCUAACCCUCUCUUUAUUUAUUUUUCUUCUCUCUAUUUGUUUUUUUUGUUAAAGCAAAUCAAAGAGGAGUGAGAGAGAGCAGCAGGCCCAUUCUCCUUCUAGGCCCAGCCGGCGCCCUCCCCCUAGGCGCAGCCCCUCUAUACUGGGCCGGCCUCUAAGGCCCAGCCUGAUCUAACCCUAGCUGCCCCGAUCCCCUCCACUCGAUCCCCAUCUCUCCCUCUCGUUCUUCUCCACCGCCGCCACUCUCACCACGCACGCACAGAGGAGCGAAGCCCGACUCCCCCAUCUCCCUUGUAGCCCUGCUCGAUCCCCUCAGCCUCCCUCCUCCUUCGAUCCAGGGAUCCAGGCUAGACCCCCGUCGGCCUCCUCACCGCCGUCGCGCCCACGGGGCCACCAGCAAGGCCCUGCGCCCGCAGACGUCGUCCUCCGGCGCCCCAAGUCCUGUGCGACGCGCCAAGUCUCCAUGGCCGCGCCUCCUUCGCCGCCCGGACCAAUCGUCCUCAACCCCGCCGAGCUCCAUCGCGCCCCCGCGCCCUUAAGUGUCUUGCGCACCUCCGCCGUCCAUCUUCUCAGCCGUGUCGCCGUCGUUUUGCAGGAGCUCCGCCUCCCUAGCGAGAACAGCCACCACCGGAGUUGUUCUUCCUUCGUGCGCCGUCAUCGAGUUGCCAUGGUCUCGACCUCUUGUGCCUCCUCCCUCCAGCACCGCCUUGCUGCUCCCUCCCGUGCACAAGCCCCUCCUCUGCCAUGGCCUUCCUCCUCCUGUGUCUGUAGCGAUGAUGUGCUACUACAGCUGCUCUUCCUGCGCGCCGCCUCCCUCGCUGAGCCCCGUGGUGUGGCCCUUCUGUGGCAACUAGCGCCCCUCCAUGGAUGACCUCCACCACAGUUGCAACACCCGGAGCAAGACGACUACAACCCUGUGGCUUUCAGAUGUAUUGUUUUGGCCUUUGCAUAUCACUGUUGAACCGAGGAGACUAGCAAGUCCAACGACAAACCCCGAAGAUUUUUGAACGCGCCAAGUUUCCUCUCGAAAGUACAUCUACAUGAUGACCCGCCAAGUACUACUACAAACCCGAAGAUUUCGGAUGCAUCAAGUUCCCGAGGAGACCCGUUUUUCGUCAAGUUCGACUACCUGUAUCAUCAAGUACCACUACGGCCGGAGACCUCGGACACGCCAAGUACCCCUUCGAGCUAUCAAUACCGCAAGCG
rnacentral:lncRNA from 1 species